GAAUAAAAUUUCAUUCAUUUCUACUCUUAAAAAUUGGUGUGACUGAUAGAUUAACCAAACAAUUAUACGUAACAUGCCACUUGUACUUCACUCUAACAUAUAGGGGCCAGUUUUUAAUAGUAGAAAUGGAUGGUUUUUAUUA
rfam:Gossypium hirsutum cultivar TM-1 chromosome 5, whole genome shotgun sequence